rnacentral:misc_RNA from 1 species
AUUAUUAAAUAUCAAUUAGAUAUUAAGUAGCUUUUAAUAAACGUAAAUUUCUUAUAUAUAUAAGAACAAUCAUACCAUAAAUAUAUAUACAAAUAUAUUGAUCCUUUUUAAGCUCAUAAUUUUGCAAUAUGUCAAAAUAAUGAAAAUAAUUAUUGAUUAUAAGUAACAUCCACAAAAAUGAUUGAAAACAUAAUAUUAUUAAAUUUCGAUUCAUUUAUAAAAUUAAAUGUUUCGCAAUAUAGGUAUUAUAUUCCCUUUAUAUUAUUUUUUGUCAUACAAUUUAUGAUGCACCAAAUUCAAUGUAUAUCUAUAUAAAUCGUCAAUUACGUGCACGGAUUGGAUGCACUAAUUUAAUUAUUUAUCGUAGUGGAGAGGAAUUAUACAGGAAUAUUGAAAAACUUUUAAUGUUUUCCUACGUUGCAGUAUCACCUUCUUCUUGUUCAAGUCUAGAUGAACCACAUACACGACAUUUACAGCAUACAAUACAUGGUGCGGCCAAUAAAAGUAACGGCGAUGCAACUAGCAAGAGCAAUCCAAAUCCAGCAAAAAUUCCAAUAACUUGUGUUCUGUGCCAAAUAACUGAUGCUCGUACAGAACACAUAGGACAACAUUUGAUAUGAUCACCAUCAAAUGGUAUACCUAAGGAAAUAUCUGAACAAGGACCAGUAUGCCAAGAUUCCCGACAUAUAGAACAGAAAUCUGUAGAACAAUUAGGACAAUGAACUGGCCCAAUAGGAGUUCCAUUUGAGCCAGUAGCAUUUAUAGAACAUAUUGUUUCGCAACCUGCACGUGGACACCAAGCACGUGCUUUAUCCAUGGAUACAUCUACGUAUCAUAUAAAAAAUGGUUAAACUAAGUUAUACUAAUGUUUGUAGCAAGUAAAGUACUGUUUACACACCUCUGUUCAAUCGGAAUUUAUGAUGUUUUUCCACAAGUUCAGCACUAACAAGACUUGAUAUUUCCUUCAUGGAAAGUAUUGCUCCAUGUUCACAUUGUGCAUCAGGACAACUAAUUUCAUAUGCACCUUCUUCAAUUUCAAAUUCAAUAUAUGCUUUCAUACACUAAAACAUGUCAAAUACAUAUGUAUAAUAACUAUAUGUAUAAUAUAUUUACUUUAAAUAAUUUUUCAUAUGAUAAUAUGUAUCAAAAGUUUGCACAUACAUCUUUACAGUAGGAACAACCACAGCCUUCUAUCUUAAAUGUUUUAGAAAAAGAAGUAUCAACAAGACAUAAUUUACAAAAGAUACGUCCAAGUGCUUGUUGAGAACUUGCAGGAACAAAAUUGCCUGCAGCUAAACUGUAGCGGGAACUAGAUGCCAAUGAUAGUAAACUGGAGCAGCGAGAACAUACUCGACUGCGAUUUAUUGGUCUGCCCUCUAAAGCAGAAGUACUUAAACCCACAGUAGUUUCACAUUUUCUUAAUCCUGUGGGGCCUAAACUCAACCAACUAUUACCACGAGCUUCCAAGCUUGCACUACUUUCAGGUCUAAGUAAAGGUGCAUCUACUCCUUUUCCUACUACAGUUCUCUCUGUCAAUGAAAGAUUUAUAACACUGGCUUCUUUGCGCAAUAAUGGUAAUCUGACUCCAGUAAGUUUGUUAGACUUAUCAACUUUUUUUU